GAUGAACGCUGGCGGCGUGCCUAAUACAUGCAAGUCGAGCGAACAGACGAGGAGCUUGCUCCUCUGACGUUAGCGGCGGACGGGUGAGUAACACGUGGAUAACCUACCUAUAAGACUGGGAUAACUUCGGGAAACCGGAGCUAAUACCGGAUAAUAUAUUGAACCGCAUGGUUCAAUAGUGAAAGACGGUUUUGCUGUCACUUAUAGAUGGAUCCGCGCCGCAUUAGCUAGUUGGUAAGGUAACGGCUUACCAAGGCAACGAUGCGUAGCCGACCUGAGAGGGUGAUCGGCCACACUGGAACUGAGACACGGCCCAGACUCCUACGGGAGGCAGCAGUAGGGAAUCUUCCGCAAUGGGCGAAAGCCUGACGGAGCAACGCCGCGUGAGUGAUGAAGGUCUUCGGAUCGUAAAACUCUGUUAUUAGGGAAGAACAAAUGUGUAAGUAACUAUGCACGCCUUGACGGUACCUAAUCAGAAAGCCACGGCUAACUACGUG
rnacentral:rRNA from 1 species